GGAGAAGGCGGCAAUGGGGUGCUGAGUGGGUACUUUCAGGUUCGUGGCAAGAUGGCGCUGACUGCAGAAGGCACCGAGUGAAGACACCGCUGAAUAAUUCAAGAGAGCUGACUACUCUGUCAAUGAGACAUAAAGAUGCAGUGAGCAGCAACAAGAGGCACAGCAAGAAAGAAUUAUACUCAUCUUUGACAUUUAAAAUGUUGUUAUAUUUUAAGAGAUGUUAAACUUUAAUAAAUCAUUUUUCCACUUUUCAUGCCUGCGUGUUCUUCAUCACAAUGGGAACCUAAUGGGCAGGAAUGGAUACUCUGUGGGAGUAUCUUGCUUCUGCCCAAAGAUAGGAUCUUCCCUUCGGCCUCUGCACAGAUCCUAUAGUGGAGCAAACAUAGAAACAUAGAAAAUAGAUGCAGGAGGAGUCAAUUUGGCCCUUCAAGCUAGCACCGCCAUUCAUUGUGAUCGUGGGUGAUCGUCCCCUAUCAAUAACCCGUGCCUGCCUUCUCCCCAUAUUCCUUGACUUCACUAGCCGCUAGAGCUCUAUCUAACUCUCUCUUAAAUCCAUCCAGUGACUAGGCUUCCACUGCCCUCUGUGGCAGGGAAUUCCAUAAAUUCACACAUUUCUCUGGGUGAAAAAGUUUCUUCUCACCUUAGUCUUAAAUUACCUGCCCUUUAUUCUAAGACUGGCCCCUGGUUCUGGACUCACCCAACAUUGGGAACAUUUCUCCUGCAUCUAGCUUGCCCAGUCCUUUAAUAAUUUAAUAUGUUUCUAUAAGAUUCCCCCUCAUCCUUCUAAACUCCAGUGAAUACAAGCCUAGUCUUUUCAAUCUUUACUCAUAUACAGUCCCACCAACCCAGGGAUCAAUCUCGUAAACCUACGCUGCAGAAGAACCUCUUCACUCUCUAUACUGAAAUCCUCUUGUUAUGAAGGCCAACAUUCCAUAGCUUUCUUUACUGCCUGCUGUACCUCUAAGCCAACUUUCAGUGGCCGGUGUACAAGGACGCCCAGGUCUCGCUGCACAUCCCCCUUACCUAACCUAAAUCUAUUGAGAUAAUAAUCAGCCCCCUUGUUUUUGCCUUCAAAGUGGAUAACCUCACAUUUAUCUAUAGUAUACUGCACAUGCCAUGCAUCUGCCCACUCACUCAACCUGUCCAGGUCACCCUGCAACCUCCUAACAUCCUCUUCACAGUUCACACUGCCACCCAGCUUUGUGUCAUUUGCAAACUUGCGAGUGUUGCUCCUAAUUCACUCUUCCAAAUCAUUAAUAUAUAUGGUAAACAGUUGCGGCCCCAAUAACAAACCUUACGGCACUCCACUCGACACUGCCUGCCAUUCUGAAAAGGACCCGUUCACUCCUACUCUUUGCUUCCUGUCUACCAAUCAAUUUUCUAUCCAUGUGAUCACCCUACCACCAAUACCAUGUGCUCAAGAUGGACCACUCCUGCAAAAAACAAUCGGCAAUCGGCAAUGUGGGCAAUACGACUUGUCUUUCUUCAGGUUCCCCAUUAAGGAGGAAAGGUAAGAAAACAUUUAUUACUUCUGGUUAGUUCAUUGAGCUCAGAUAGUUGAGUCCUCAUGGCAACAUCCUUGUAGAAAUCUUCUCAAGAGCAUUUUCUUUCUACAUCUCUGUUAUUUAAUGCAGAAUAAGAGCAUAUUGACUGCAGAUAUUUUCUGUAAUUUCAGAUGUCGACAUUGGACAUGAUCUACACCGAACUGCGGAGUAUUUGUGAAAUAACUGCCCUCUUAUGUACAUUGUGUGAAAUUGUGAUUUGCUAACUGCACAAAUAUAAUGCGAAUGGCGAUUUAUUUAUUAUUGUAUCUAUGUUGGACAUUUUGCUGUUUGGUGAAGCAGGGGUGGGGCUAUCAUUGUGUUACAUACGUUAAAUUGUACAUCACUUUCACUGGUUAGCUGAUAUGCUGAACUGCAACCCUGUAUAACUCGCGCACAGAAUAAUGUGAAUUGUGUAAAUCUUAUCCCAACGGGUCCCACUUAGUCUAUUGAUUGUGUAUAAGCUGCAAAUUUUGUCCUUUGUUUGAAAUGUGUAGAAUGUGACAUCACUUUUAUUGAUUAUCUGAUAUUCUAAAUUCUGCAAAUUCUGCAAGCCUGUAUAUGUCGUGCACAAAAUGAUGUAAAUAAAAAUUGUUUUCCUGUUUAAGAA